UGCAGACAAGCAGGCUGCUGCAUUUAGCACUUUACCUCUUGCUCACCCAGUCUUCUGUUUAGGCUCUGACCGGACUUGACUCAAAUGCCUGGCCCCUGUGACUAUAGCAGUUCAAUGACAGCAGCAUUUGCAUCUGAAAAGCGGAAUUGCCAGUCUGAGCUCAUGGGAGACUGUAUGUGCAUGCAAAGAAUAGUGAUAAUACCACAGUAGGGUGGCAUUCUUUACUCCCCUUUUCUCUUUUGCUAUAAGAGCACAAGAGUUGCAGAAAAUAAUGAAGUGGUCUUCUAUCCCUUUCAAAUAUAAGCCUUGGAAACGUCUUUCAGGAAAAUGAUGAGACCUUUUACUGUCCUCUGCUGUGACAGUCAUCCUGUUGAGUUAUGGUUCUCAGAUACCAGGGGAUGGUAACUGGAGGCCUCUGCCAGAAAGUGAGUCUGGAGAGUCUUGAAAACUAGUGAAGCUUCCCUGCACAGGCACAUUGUCUGGGAAAGAUGAGUGCUGUCACUAUAAGUGCUGUCACUGGGCUUCUCUUCAAGUCGUCUGGAAAAAGCCUUACUGAGAGGUUUGUUUGUACAGCGUCUGGCACAACAACAGCUCAGUUUUGUGGGGGAUUUUGCAGUGCUACAGCUACAUAAAUUGGAGAAGCUAAGAAGUCUAUAGCAUCCUGCACAUCUUUAGCAUGCCAGCUUAAAAAGAAAAAAAAAGUGUUGAUUUUGCAGACAAGCACAAUGAGAAAAGGAUUAUGCUAGCAGAAUAGGAUCCUAACACCAGCACACAAGCUGCCUCAUCAAACAACAUCUGCAUGAUUUAGACUUUUAAAAGGGAACAAGUUGGCCUUGUACCUACAAAUUAUUUUCUGGUGUUAGUGGGUAGGUAGAGUAGUGGGGAUAUAUAUCAUCUACAUGCAAAUUCUGGGCAGGCAAAUAUCUUCAGUUCAAACGACUAGCAAUUUUAUUCCUGUCUGGUCUAUCAAAUAUUUUACAGGAAAAAAUAUACGCAUGUUAAAGCAAAACAGCCUUUAUUUAAAAAGUAAUGUGAUCCAAAUGUGUCAUUAAACUGACAAACAGGUAUAAUUAAUACAUUUUAGGCCAGAUUCUAAGCUGGUAUGAAAUGGUAGAACUCAAUACUCAGGCCAAUUCAGUAUUCAGUGAUACUUUGGCAGUUUUACACCCAGGACUUGUUUUCAGCAUAUAAAACAAAAACAGAAUAAAAUCUCCAUAUCUGAUCUGUUGUUUCAUCAAAGCAUUUUCUUUCUUGCAGUCACUUUUGUUUAUGAUAAUUGUUAAAAGUUGUUACAACAACUGAAAGUCUACAAUGUUUCUGCUUUUGGGGGUCCAGUAGUCCACUUAAAACACUGGAUGUCCUAGGCGGAUGCUUCUGAAGGCCCAGUGCCAGCCUGUGGUGGCAGGGGUGGGAAAGGUCUUUUGAAAUAGGUAGACUUUAACCUCUCUGGAUCUGGGACCUGACCAUGUUGCAGUUAUCAGUUAAGAAAUCUAUAACAUGAGUUUUAGCAAUGUGGAAAACAGUUGAAUAGAAGAAAGGCUGAAUAUAUAACAGGUCUUUUUAAUCAGGUGGUUGGCUUUAAAAUAAACAAACAGAUAAAUGAGAAACACACAAAAAACCCAACUCUCCAGCACUAAGGCUUAGACUUUAUUGGUUCUUUCAGGAAAAAAAGUCACCAUAAAUUUCCUAUAACUUUUGGAAACUCUCUGUUGAUGUGAGAUAUUGCAGUCUGCUGCUGUACCUGUUGCUUAAAGCUAGACGAAGGAGGCGAGCCAGAGCAAUGGAGGACCAGAGAACUUCUAUGCUAGUGAACAAUGCUAUGGCCACAGUUUCUCAGGCUAAUACUAGGAGCAAGUUGGAGUCAGGUUAGUGUGCCACACCUGUCCUUCUGAGACUUUCUGUACUAGCCUGUGUUGAAGAGAGGCCUCAGAUAAGAAGAUAAUAGAAAUAGCAUAACUUUUUAAUUUUUUUUUCAAAAUAAGGUAUUCAUUGCUAUCUUUUCAUACUUUUUCACUUAAAGUUUUGCUUUGUUCUUAUAUAUGACACCCAGAAUUGGAUGCAUACUCAUUAUGGAGAGAUGUUGUCCUAAGAUUGUUACCAGAAAGCAAACAUAACUUCUCUAAAGACUUCUUUGUACCUGGCUGGAAAAGACUGCCUGCCUAGGCAUUGAUAUCUAUCAAGAUAUCUAUGUGUGAAAUAAGAAGAGCAAAUAAUCAGGAGAAAAAAGUACACCAUGUUUCUUUCCAGAAGUGCACUAUUGUGUACUUUCUUCUGUUACACUGUGUCAUUGCUAAAAAUAUCAAAAUCACUUUAACAGUGUAAUAAAGGAAAGAGUAGGUUGUUCUCCAUCAUAACAACCCUCUACCAAAGCAACUUUAAUUUUAUUUUGUACACUCGGAAGAAGUUAACUGGAUGUAGAAAGACAAGAUACAACCUGACAUUAUGUACAUUUGAAGCUAAUGUAAUAGUAGUACUAAAAUUGGUAUCCUCCUUAAAAUGUAUAUUUGAAAACUGUACUGUUCAGAACUGCUAUGUGACAGCUUAAAGUGUCUUUAGGACAUUGCUUUUGAUAAGUGCUUAUAGUCUGUGCUUUUCAUCAAGGUCUGCAAAUCCAUUCUGCCAUUAUGAAAUUUGAAAUCUAUGAAAAUAACAAUAAAGGAAAUCUAAACACA